rnacentral:rRNA from 1 species
UGGGGAAUAUCGCACAAUGGGCGAAAGCCUGAUGCAGCGACGCCGCGUGAGGGAUGACGGCCUUCGGGUUGUAAACCUCUUUCAGUAGGGAAGAAGCGAAAGUGACGGUACCUGCAGAAGAAGCGCCGGCUAACUACGUGC